AAGUCGUAACAAGGUUUCCGUAGGUGAACCUGCGGAAGGAUCAUUAUUGAAUAAAUCUGGCGCGAGGUUGUAGCUGGCUCUCCGGAGCAUGUGCACGCCUCCGUCACCUUUAUCUUUCCACCUGUGCACACACUGUAGUCCUGGAUACCUCUCGCCGCAAGGCGGAUGCAGAGCCUGCUGUGACUUUGGCAACAAAGACCAGUCUUGCUCUGAAUUUCCAGGGUCUACGAAUCUUUUUACACACCCCUUAAACGAAUGUCAUAGAAUGUAUAUCACUGGGCCUUUGUGCCUAUAAACCUUAUACAACUUUCAACAACGGAUCUCUUGGCUCUC
rnacentral:misc_RNA from 1 species